GGAGACGUGGCCGAGUGGUCGAAGGCGCUCCCCUGCUAAGGGAGUAGACGGGUUGAACCGUCUCGAGGGUUCGAAUCCCUUCGUCUCCGCCA
rnacentral:tRNA from 1 species